GGGCCAAUUAAUGGCUAUCCACGGCUGGCCGCGGGGAUGAAUACCUUCACGACGAGAACAAGCUUGGUGGGAGUUGACGCUGUCGGAAUCGCUUGAAAAAAGACACGAGUUUUCUGAGCGAGAGCUCUUGUAGCUACAAGAUCCUUAAUGACCGACGAUCGUGUCAAUAAUUGUCAACCGUGAAGAUUGGGAGCGAGAGCCAACGAUCGUACGUGUAUGUCGGGAUCGUGGGGAGAAAUAUGUGGCAUGAUUGAUCUCGUUUUCACGACACCAACAAGAACCAAAGUGGCGAAAAUUGAACAGAGACCAGGUUGUGUAAAUUGGAAGAAUGUCGGUCGUAACAGUGUGACAGGAGAUGAAUGGAGAUCAAAUAAAGGAGAUUUGUUUCCGUGAUUGAUUCUCACGCGGCGGCAGAUCGCGUCUGCUUUUCCUUGCCACCUGUUGCUGCUUUCGCUUACGGGACCCUCUCGCCAC
rnacentral:misc_RNA from 1 species